rnacentral:snoRNA from 1 species
GUAUAAGUUUGGAUUUAUGGCAAGUCCAAUCCCACAGUGUCCAGUGCCAAAGCAAACGGUCACCCCGAACCACUGCCUGGCUUACCCUGUGGACUUCAGGCACUGAAGCGGGUUGCACAGUA